AACGAACGCUGGCGGCAGGCUUAACACAUGCAAGUCGAGCGCCCCGCAAGGGGAGCGGCAGACGGGUGAGUAACGCGUGGGAAUCUACCUUUUGCUACGGAAUAACGCAGGGAAACUUGUGCUAAUACCGUAUGUGUCCUUCGGGAGAAAGAUUUAUCGGCAAGAGAUGAGCCCGCGUUGGAUUAGCUAGUUGGUGGGGUAAAGGCCUACCAAGGCGACGAUCCAUAGCUGGUCUGAGAGGAUGAUCAGCCACAUUGGGACUGAGACACGGCCCAAACUCCUACGGGAGGCAGCAGUGGGGAAUAUUGGACAAUGGGCGCAAGCCUGAUCCAGCCAUGCCGCGUGAGUGAUGAAGGCCCUAGGGUUGUAAAGCUCUUUCACCGGAGAAGAUAAUGACGGUAUCCGGAGAAGAAGCCCCGGCUAACUUCGUGCCAGCCGCCG
rnacentral:rRNA from 2 species